CAUAAAUUUUAAGUAGGUGUUCAACCUUGUGGGAGGGCGUACUAUAAUGUUUUAAGCUUGUUUCGUGUAGAUGUUGUUAUGCUUUUGCAUACAGCUUUAAGUUCGUAUAUACCAGUAUCAAAAUCCAAAAAUGUCUGUCUGGAUUAGAAAUAAAUAACAUAAAAUUAUAUAUCGUAGCCAAGUUGAAAGAACAUUGGUUUUAUUCAGGCAGUGGAGAGGCUGGGGAAAAAUAUAUUAACGAUCAAUUUAUCUUAUUGGAGCGAGUAGAACUCUUACAAAUAUUUACCUUAGAAAAGGGAUAUCAUCAUAUACUGUGUGUGUGUUGUGUGUGUGUGUGUUUAGGGAUUUCUAACAGUCGCUCUUCUUCACUCAAGUUCACUCUGUGUGUGUUCUCUUCGGGACAAAUUGUGGUCCACUACACUCUUGCCUUAAAGUGCACUAAGACAAAUCCCAAACCAGCUGGCUAUGCCUCUUAAAGAGACUUAUGGCACCUUAUAUUAACUUCCCCAUCCCAAGUGCUUUUUCAGAUAGGCUGGUUCCAGUGUCCCAAACACCCAAGCUGGCAGCCCCACAUCUGGGAGAACCACUAAACUCAAAACUCUGAUAUCUUGUGGCCUUUUAGGACUAUGAAAUCUGCCUUUUAGGACUUAUGGAUUUCUGGUGGCCCAUAUUUUCAGAUCUACAAAGCUUACGCCGCCAUGAAUCAAGGCGCCUUAAGCUCCGUCUUGGUCAAGCAAGACAGGGAUGAGUUCCUUUUCUCCGUGGCUGAUUGCAAUUUGCAAUGAUGCCGUGCUCCCAGGAAUGCCAAUCCAUUUUCAUCUGGGCAUUUUCCCUUGAGGACCAGUGACAUCUGCCUUAGCUUUUCCCCCUUGUGCUUUCAGAGGCAGCUGAAGUCGUAUUCCACUCAUGUCCUUGCUGGGACGGUACUAGUGCAUGCAGGGGAACAUGGAUUCAAUUAAGCUGCA